rnacentral:rRNA from 1 species
GGUGAAAGCCUGGGGUGCCCCGCGAGGGGAGCCCUAGCACAGGUGCUGCAUGGCCGUCGUCAGCUCGUGCCGUGAGGUGUUGGGUUAAGUCCCGCAACGAGCGCAACCCCGCCGUUAGUUGCCAGCGGUUCGGCCGGGCACUCUAACGGGACUGCCCGCGAAAGCGGGAGGAAGGAGGGGACGACGUCUGGUCAGCAUGGCCCUUACGGCCUGGGCGACACACGUGCUACAAUGCCCACUACAAAGCGAGGCCACCCGGCAACGGGGAGCUAAUCGCAAAAAGGUGGGCCCAGUUCGGAUUGGGGUCUGCAACCCGACCCCAUGAAGCCGGAAUCGCUAGUAAUCGCGGAUCAGCCAUGCCGCGGUGAAUACGUUCCCGGGCCUU